ensembl:lncRNA
GACUUCCUUAUAAGACGCUAAAAUUAAAGUAUGGCGUUUGAGGGAGCUGGAUGAGUAGACCUUUACACACAGUCAGUGACUUUCAGCUUUAUUUAAGCUUUAAUUUAUCCUGAUGUAGUCAACGUUUAAACUUAGGUUCUGUUUUGUAUUUAAAAUACCAACAAGCUCAGACAUUUUGAAAAACGAAGAAACAGAUCAGCAGGAGUAGAUAACACAGAAAUGUCUGCAGUAACUUUGUCGCUCUGCUCGACUUUCCUGUUUUUUGGCGUUUUAAUGUUUGUCUCUGCAGAACAGAAAACCAUCACAGCUGAUUCUGGACAGGACGUCACUCUGACAUGUCGAGCUCCAGACAACAAAAUCAUAGCUUUAGUUUGGAUCAGAGCUGACCUGAAGACAGCAAAUGUGCUUUUCUAUGAGAAUGGGAGGUUUGUUCCAGAUGAUCAACAUCCAUUUUAUAAGAACCGGGUGGAUAUGCUGGACAGACAGAUGAAGGAUGGAGAACUAUCUGUGACUCUGAAGGAUGUGACAACUAAUGAUACUGGCACAUACGAGUGUCAUGUUGUCCAAGGAGUUGGAAAACAUUUAACUCUCAUAAGCAACAUCUAUCUUUAUGUUGUUCCUCCAGGUCAGACAGGAGGAGACAUAGAGGAUGGAUCUCUUGGACUGAUCCUUCGUCUGUCAGUUCCUGCUGUGGUUCUGGUGUUAAUUAUCCUUAAACUACAUAAACAUUGUGCGACAUUUUGGAAGCUGUGAUCCAUAGUUGCAGGGGGGCUGAUCAGGCAGAUUUUAUUCACUUUGCUGCACCACCUGUCCUCUACAGCUGAGCUAUAGAGCACACCUCCACCACACAGGUCCCAUACCCGACUGAGGCCAGGGACCCAUCAAGCCAAGCCUAUCCCUGUCCUGUGAGCAGGAGAAAAUAAUCAGCCAUUACCAUCUGUGCCCCGGGCCUGUGGACCACCUUGAAGUUAAAUGGGUGUAGGGCCAGAUAAUACUGGGUGAUCUGAGUGUUGGCAUCUUUCAUGUGGUGGAGCCACUGUAGCAAUAAAUGGUCUGAAAAGUUCAUUUUAUUUAUAUAGGACAUGUAAUUACAACAGUAAUGCUGUGGUGUAAUCCAGUGCUGUACAGAAGUACAAAACUAUUACUACGAAAUACAAUAUAACGUAAAAUAUUAUUACCAAAAUGAUCUCAUACUGUAUUAAAAGCCAGUGAAUACAAAUGUGUUUUUAGAUUAGAUUUGAAGAGAUUGAUGAUAGGAGCCUGUCUGAUGUGUAGAGUUAGAUUAUUCACUUCGGCACGCAGGCUGCAUGGUCCUGCGUGCUGGCCAUCUGCCCAGCUGCCUGUGAGCCCCAGCUCACUUCCACGCCUGCUGCGCCGCCACUGCUUGCCAUAUGGGUGGCCAUCAGGCUAGCUCCGGGGCUUCCGCUGGAGGCACGGGCGACCGCCAGAGUGGACACUUCCCCGUCGCUGGGAUGGGGCAUGGGGCGCCGAUGGUCCGGGCCGAUUCCCUCGCCUGCUUCCGGGGUGAGGUGAAGCGGGCGAGGGGGUAUGUGGCAGGGCGUGUUCUGUGAUGUCGCUGCAGGUUUGGUGGUGGUGAUGUGUACAGCUGCCAGUGGAAUGUACUGUAUUGAAUGUACUGUUACAGCAACCGUGUGACUAUUGUAAGAAUAAAUGAUGCUGCAAAGCAUGAAAAUGCCUUCGGGUCUGCCAUGGUGGCGAUCUUUUUUUUUUUUUUUUAAAUCUUAAGUAAACAAACCAGUAAACAAAUUAAAACAAAUACUGUCGAUAAACUAUAAUACGAAAAUUACAAUUAAGAUUCUCAACAACAAAAACAAAAACAAAAAAAUAUAAUUAAUAUGUAAACAACUUAACAACCCCCAAAGUGUCGAAGUCACGUGACGUGUCAGUGCAACACCGAAACAUAAGAGUGGGGGAGGGGGAGCAAAGUGUGUCUGCUCUCCGCUGACACAGGAGCGGUGAGUCCAGUGACCUGGUUGUUUUGUUUUUGCCAAAAGCUCAGCAUAGCAAACAAGCAGAACUCAAAGUAAAGAAUCGAUCUCACCAGGCUAGUAUCGAUCCGAUACCGAUGCCGACGCCGACUUGGGAUCGAUACUAUCGAUAUUUGGAUCGAUCCGCCCACCACUAGCAUGCACUUGUUGCUCAUUCACUUAACCAUGCCACAAGGAAGCAGCUCAUGCGUCCAGUCUCUGCCAGACUGUCUGCAUAUCGAGUGCAGUAAUCAGGCUCCUCAAUGCAUGUGUUUAUGUACUUUGUUCCAAAGAUGUCUCUCUCUCUCUCUCUCUCUCUCUCUCUCUCUCUCUGGGUGAAUGGCAGAGUGAAUGGUGCUGGGGACGGGAGUGUAGGAGUGAGUGGAUUUCUGUUUUCGAAUACCUUUUUUCUAUUUUUACUGUCAGGUGUGAUUAUUUUUUCAACACACGGUUGUUAAUUUGUUUUGUUUGUUGCCGGCUGGUUUGGUAGCUUUUGCUGCCAGCUUGGCUCGGCACAAUGCCCGCUGUUGAGGGUGAUGCAGAGUUUGAAAAGCUGACACACCGUCAUGCUGUCAAACUUAUACCGACUGUGAAUUGCUAGGUGGAAGAAGCUGUUUUGGCUGUAGGAGAGGUGGUGGGCUAUGACAGCGUGAAAUCUGCCUGAAUCAGAAAAUCAGGCUUUCAUUUCAGCCUGCAUCCAUGGAAUGGACUCAGUUUAUCUCGAUAUCCUGAUUACAUCGUUUCUCAACUACCUCCCUGUUGUUGAGAGAUCAGCUGUUGAGAAGGCUCUGCUGGCACAUUGGAUGAAAAUGAUGAAGAUGACCUGCUUGACCUUUUUACAAGGAUGGGUUUCCACUUCCUACCACCUAAGAACAACAUGCAGCCUGCCAUUGAAACAAUGGCUCAUAAGGCUCAUGGCCAUUCUCCAAGAGCCAAAGUGGAUUGCUUCUCCACACCCAUGUCUGCAGCUGAAACUGUCAGACAAGGAAAGUGUGUUGUCUCUGUAUGAGACAAAGAAGAGAACACACAACCUUUAACCAUCUUCACGUUAUGUCAAAAACACUGAUGAAACCAAAGUCCAAAAAUACAUAAAGACAUACAUAAAGCAUUAAGUUCCAUUGGAAUCAAGAGAAAGGUAUGUUUCUACAAUAUCUCCAAAAUUAGUCAACUCACACUAAAACAAUCUGGAUUAAUGAGUGGUACAGCUGGUGAGAAGAAACAUGAUUUUAGGGUUAAAGGUCCAUUAAUGUUUGUAACAAAUGUCUCUUUAUGGUUGAGAAAAAAGUGAUAAAAAGUUAAUGAUCAGACCCAUUUUACAAAUUCUAAAAGCUGAUGUGUGAAAUGUGGCCUCUAAACAUCAUCUUGCAACAAUAAGUCAUAGUCUGCUUCAUUAGCUUCCAAGAUGUUUACUAGUUGUUUUGUUAAAAAAAACAUUGCCAUCACAUGUUAUCCUUUUUAAAAGGACUUUGCCAAAAUAUGACAUACAGAUAGUCUACAUUUUUUAUGCUGUUUUACAUAAUUAGAAAUGACCAAGCAACAAUUUUCUGAUUUUUUUUUUAAUUGUUUUGAAUAAUCAAGAUGGUAGGCCUCAAUUUCACAAUUAUUAAAUAAUAUAUAUAGUCAUUUAGAAAACAUUGCUAAAUUUUUACAGAUUAAGCAUGUCUACCAUCUACCCUUCUCUGAAAUUAAAGUGUUAGGUAAUGCAUGCAUUCCAUACAGAUCUAUCAUGGUCCCCGUGUCUGCCCAGCCUGCCCUGUGUUUUAUAUUCCUUCUCUCCUCUCUGCCUGGGCGGAGCUCACUGUGGGCUCCCGCCCUUGGCCCACACACCUGUUCGCGAUUAGCUGUCCACUAUUUGUGGCUCGUCGCUGGAUGAUUGUGCGAGACACGUUAAUGAUCCUCUCAGCUCCCAUUAAUCUUUGCUUAAGUGUUUUGUGAUUUCUGAGUAAUUUCCCUCUCCUUUGUGAUAGUUUUCCUCCCCGGACCUGUGACCUUCCUGCUGUACGAAUGUGUGGGAGUUUGGGCGUGAAGACGAGAAUGAGUGUGAGAGAGUUUCUCCUUGGACCUUUGGAACCAUGGAUUUCCCCCCCCUCAGUGUAUAUAUUCUGCACUGGUGUUGUAAAUAAACUGAGUUUGGAAACGUCAACCUGCUCUGCACUUGAGUCCCUGCUAUUUUUGUUGUCCGCAUUACAUGGUCAGAAAAAAUAAGAAAUUGAUUACAUUUCAUAGUUUAUUUGUCCAGUACUUAAAAAACACAUAUCAUCCUUACAGAAGUGGCGAGUGUUGCCAUAUCAUUAAAAGGAAGAGACUCCCUUCAUACUUUAGUUCAUUGACCCUCCUAGAACACAAAACGAAAUAAUAUAUAAGAUAUUCUCAUAAAUGUCAGUGUACUAGAAAGCUUACAGUUCAAAGUCUGUUUAACAUCCAGAAGUUUCUCACAUAUAGCACAGGUCAGUUUGGAGAAAUGUUGUCUGCAGUGCAGUGCAUGUGUUUUACACCAAUUCCAUGAUGGUCUCUCUUAGAUGCAUGUACAAGUUCACAGCCUAAUAUGGGUCUGUUGGUGGAGUCAGAUGGGACUCAGCCAUAAGGAUAUUACACAGUUCAUAUACAUCUGGAUCACAUGGUUUCAUCAGUCGAAAAACACACUCAUUUUUACACAGUUCAACAUGUUCUUGAACUGGGGCAAAGGAAGUCUGUUGUCCUGUAGAGCUCAGGUAAUGUAAACAUUACAUUAGGCUGACCACUGUGUCAUCCAGCUCAUCCUGUUAAAAAGAAUACAUAAGUUUAAGAAAUGUGUGUGAGAGACAUAUGACUUGCAUAUAUAACUGAAAUAACAAGAGAAAAGAAAAAAAAUGAAACAAAAAGUUUUCAUGAAUAUCGCUGUCUACACAAUGUUUAAGCUAGAAUGAAGUUUGCAAUUUGUCCUGUUACCACCCCCUUAUUUUAAAUGUCAUUAAUUGCAUAUCAGUAUUCAGAAUUCAACAUUAUAUGAUUCAAACUAUAUACAAGUCUACACUCACAUACAACACAUAAACAUACUCACAUAAAACAGUUUCAGCUAAUAAACCAAAACAACAGCAAACUACAUUUU